UAUAAUGAGUAAAUCUUAGCCAUCAAAUGAAAACAAUUUAGACGCUCAAGAUUGCGCCAUAUGGCAAGAUUUAAUAGGUUGGAACACAUCAUCAGUCAAUACCACAUCAAUAUUUCGGUCCAAUAAUAUGCUGCCAUGUCAUCAGUCAACGCCACAUCAGUAUUUUGACCUAAUAUGAUCUUGCCACAUCAUCGGUCAACGCCACAUAAUUAGUCAAUGCCACAUCAUUGGGCCAAUAACAUGAUGCCACGCCAUCAAGAUUGCGCCAUAUGGCAAGAUUUAAUAGGUUGGAACACAUCAUCAGUCAAUACCACAUCAAUAUUUCGGUCCAAUAAUAUGUUGCCAUGUCAUCAGUCAACGCCACAUCAGUAUUUUGACCUAAUAGGAUCUUGCCACAUCAUCGGUCAAUGCUACAUAAUUAGUCAAUGCCACAUAAUUAGUCAAUGCCACAUCAUUGGGCCAAUAACAUGAUGCCAUGUCAUCGAUCAAUAUCACGUCAUCUAUCAAUGCAACGUCAUCAUACCGUAUACGUGAACAUUACUGUACAUGUGAAUAGUACCAUAUACAUGAAUAAUAUCGUAUAUGUGAACAAUACCGUGUAUCCUUUUAUGCUCGUCUUAAGGCUUUCAGCUGUUCUGAGCUCAAAAAUACCAUCCAUUUUACUAUAUUACUUUUUGUUAAUUGUAAAACAAUCAAAAUGCCUCUGAAAUACAUAAAAUACUUGAAUUAUAAUAAAAUACACACAAUUAAAGUACAAGGGAUUUAAAUACAUAAAAGUAGAGAUAUUAGUGAGAGUUGGAAUAGGAAAUGAUGAUUUUACCUUUUUAUAAAUAUACAUUCUCUAGCACUCAAUAGCAAUAAUUGACAAUGAACUUUGUAAAUCUUUUUAACGGCAUUUUGAGGGAAAUAAGGAAAACACUGAUGCAUUUUAUGUGUAUUUUUUCAUAUUUGAUUUUGGUGUUUCAAUUAUUGUGGGAAACAAAAGAUAUUGAUUUAAAAAAGUCACGAAGUACCAUUAUCUGCCAUUUAUACAGGAAAAUGAAUCAAAGCACAUCAAAGAAACGAAUUAAUUCGGCAAAAUCAAGUCAAACAUGAACGCGAACAAAAUAAUAAAAUAAAGACACGCAAUGUAAAAAAUGAAUAUAAUAAAAUACUUAACUCACCUUCAUCUUUUAUUGAGUUAACCUCAAGUUUAAAUUAGAAUACCACUUUCUAUUUCCCUGAGUUGUCUUUUUAGAUCCUCAACAUGAGAUAUUAAUGCUGAUGGUUGUAAAUCCAAAGAGGGUGGGUUUUACAAAAUUGUAUCAGGCCUCUUAUAUGAAAUUUCACACGUAAAAGUUGCCCAAGAUGUUUGAAGAGAAUCUUUCUUAUUGAGGUACGCAUGACGUAUAUUAAAAAUGAUUAAAUGAAACACAAUUGUCAAACAAACACACUUAAGCGAGAAACAUCAUAACAUGUAUCAUCCAAGACAUAGAAAGAAACAAUAAAACAAUUAAAAAAUAGUAAAGUAACAAUUUCAAAAAGAAAAAGAAAAAGAAAAAUUACCCAUUAA
rnacentral:lncRNA from 1 species